CCUACGGGGGGCAGCAGUGAGGAAUAUUGGUCAAUGGACGCAAGUCUGAACCAGCCAUGCCGCGUGCAGGAAGACGGCUCUAUGAGUUGUAAACUGCUUUUGUACGAGGGUAAACGCAGAUACGUGUAUCUGUCUGAAAGUAUCGUACGAAUAAGGAUCGGCUAACUCCGUGCCAGCAGCCGCGGUAAUACGGAGGAUUCAAGCGUUAUCCGGAUUUAUUGGGUUUAAAGGGUGCGUAGGCGGUUGGAUAAGUUAGAGGUGAAAUCCCGGGGCUCAACUCCGGAAUUGCCUCUGAUACUGUUCGGCUAGAGAUCAGUUGCGGUAGGCGGAAUGUAUGGUGUAGCGGUGAAAUGCUUAGAGAUCAUACAGAACACCGAUUGCGAAGGCAGCUUACCAAGCUGAAUCUGACGUUGAGGCACGAAAGCGUGGGUAGCAAACAG
rnacentral:rRNA from 1 species